GACGAACGCUGGCGGCGUGCUUAACACAUGCAAGUCGAACGGAAAGGCCCUGCUUUUGUGGGGUGCUCGAGUGGCGAACGGGUGAGUAACACGUGAGUAACCUGCCCUUGACUUUGGGAUAACUUCAGGAAACUGGGGCUAAUACCGGAUAGGAGCUCCUGCUGCAUGGUGGGGGUUGGAAAGAUUCGGCGGUUGGGGAUGGACUCGCGGCUUAUCCGCUUGUUGGUGGGGUAGUGGCUUACCAAGGCUUUGACGGGUAGCCGGCCUGAGAGGGUGACCGGCCACAUUGGGACUGAGAUACGGCCCAGACUCCUACGGGAGGCAGCAGUGGGGAAUAUUGCACAAUGGGCGGAAGCCUGAUGCAGCAACGCCGCGUGCGGGAUGACGGCCUUCGGGUUGUAAACCGCUUUCGCCUGUGACGAAGCGUGAGUGACGGUAAUGGGUAAAGAAGCACCGGCUAACUACGUG
rnacentral:rRNA from 1 species